GUAGGGGGCAAGCGUUAUCCGGAUUUACUGGGUGUAAAGGGAGCGUAGACGGUACGCCAAGUCUGAAGUGAAAUGCCGCAGCUUAACUGCGGAACUGCUUUGGAAACUGGCGGGCUGGAGUGCGGGAGGGGUAAGCGGAAUUCCUAGUGUAGCGGUGAAAUGCGUAGAUAUUAGGAGGAACACCGGUGGCGAAGGCGGCUUACUGGACCGUAACUGACGUUGAGGCUCGAAAGCGUGGGGAGCAAAC
rnacentral:rRNA from 1 species